UUGAGCCGUAUGCGGUGAAAGCCGCACGCACGGUUCUUGGGGGGAUGGAUCAGGAAUGGCCCGUCCCUCCCGGC
rnacentral:ncRNA from 1 species